UGGACACCAACAGUUCAGGAAGUUGUUGAUCUUUGAAGCUAUAACUGCUCCGUCGACUUCAACGCCGUGGAAGGACUCACUUGUGAGACUACCUAACCCCGCUGUGUCAACUGUUGCUCCCGAGUCACUGUCUGAGAGGUGAACCACUGCUGAAACAAUAAGUUCCCACAGUGGACGACGCUGCCACAUACAGAGCCUCACCUGCCGACCAACACUUCAUGUGUAUUGCCUUUGUUAAUUCCAUUGUUUUUGCAG
rnacentral:lncRNA from 1 species